rnacentral:tRNA from 1 species
GCGCCCGUAGCUCAGUUGGAUAGAGCGCCGGACUUCGGAUCCGUAGGUCGGGGGUUCGACUCCCUCCGGGCGCG